CUAAAGCUGCAUGCUAACUCUGACAUGGACAGGAAACGUUAUCGUAUUGCGGUAACGUGCGAUCAAGCCAGCCGUCACUCGCAUCUCCGUGGUCAAAUAAGCCAACGAUACAACUGUAGCGCACCGAUAUACUGACAUUUAUGUUAAAUACAUUUUGGCCCCGAUGGAGCUGACCAUGGAUGUAUAAAGAGAACGGAGCUA